GAAAUCUUAACCCGCAAACAUGGAUGUAUAUCUCAGGUAUCAGGAACUUGCUUCUAACCCUAACAUGGAGUACAUUGCUGGAGGUGCUACUCAAAACUCCAUUUGAGUUGCCCAGUGUACAAGAACAAAACAUGAACUUUUGGAACUCAUGUGGUUUUAUAACUUGCAACAAGUAAUUUUAGUUUUCCACCAGAUUUGCUCUAACUUAGAUGUCC